UCCACAGCCAGACACAACCAUCAACCCUUAUGACACCCAGAAAAUCGCAGUUUUAAUCUAAAUUAUACACACGUCUAGAAGCAAACAGACACGUAUGAGACCGCAGACUCUGAAAUGAUUCUGGCUUGGUUUUUUUGCAUCUUUGUGGAUUUUGUGGUUGUCUUCUCUGAGCUUCAGAGCGUCUUUACCGGCACUUGAUCCGUGAAGAGCUCUCUGCUCCAUCUUCAGCUGCCUGAGACGUGAACCCCAGAAAGACUCUUAAUGAAUCAGUUUUCGCCGCUCGAUGCCAUGGCGUUCAACCGGUGGCUUUUAUAAUUCUCUCUGAAGGACGGAUCUUCAGGUCUAGUCGAGCGUCGUGGGAGAGUUACAGGUCAGAAAUCCCUCCUCUGUCCCGUGUGCUUUGGGGCUUUCACUCGCUCUCAUUGGCUGAGCUGCAUGCGAUGACAUCACUGCAUGAACCCCGACGGUCGCAUUUUAAACCUGCAUGUUUCUUUUUCCUCAUUUUGAUCUUUUGCUUGAGUUGGAAAUCCUGCUCGUCCAUCCCAAGUGAUUUUUUUUCUCCUUGGUUGUGUUCAGAUUUCUUUCCCCCAC
rnacentral:lncRNA from 1 species